ensembl:snRNA U4 U4 spliceosomal RNA
GCCUUUGCGCAGUGGCAGUAUCACAGACAAUGAGGUCAAACCGAGGCGUGAUUUUUGCUAAUUGUGAUGAAAGCGGAGGGGCUGUGUUUCCAUUAGGGAAGACCUGCUGACUUAUUUUUUGUCGGGGGCUUCGCACAUGCUC